rnacentral:lncRNA from 1 species
AGUGAGCUGAGGCCGACUUGUUUCAUAAACACGUCGAUCUUAAACUGGCUCAUUAAAAUACUGAACCAAAAACUUCAGCUCAUAUUCAACUCAUUUAUUAACGAGCCGAGCUAGCUCACAAAUAAUAAAUUUUAUUUAUAUAUAUAUAUAUAUAUAUAGAGUGAGGCUACUAUGCUAUCGGAAACACGGAGCCUUCCGUGCUUCCAGCUCGUUUUCGAUGUUGCGACUUUCGAAUCGUCGAUCGGCUCCGUUAAACUUGAUCUAGAGUAUUUGGAGUACCUAGAAAAUAAAUUUUAUUAUUUUU